GGGAUAAUAGUUAACUAUAACAUUUAAUUUGCAAUUAGAAAGUAUUGAGGCAUCAAUUUAUCUUA
rnacentral:tRNA from 1 species